rnacentral:rRNA from 2 species
GGGUUGUGAGGUUAAGCGACUAAGCGUACACGGUGGAUGCCCUGGCAGUCAGAGGCGAUGAAGGACGUGCUAAUCUGCGAUAAGCGCCGGUAAGGUGAUAUGAACCGUUAUAACCGGCGAUUUCCGAAUGGGGAAACCCAGUGUGAUUCGUCACACUAUCAUUAACUGAAUCCAUAGGUUAAUGAGGCGAACCGGGGGAACUGAAACAUCUAAGUACCCCGAGGAAAAGAAAUCAACCGAGAUUCCCCCAGUAGCGGCGAGCGAACGGGGAGGAGCCCAGAGCCUGAAUCAGCAUGUGUGUUAGUGGAAGCGUCUGGAAAGGCGCGCGAUACAGGGUGACAGCCCCGUACACAAAAGCGCAUGUGCUGUGAGCUCGAUGAGUAGGGCGGGACACGUGGUAUCCUGUCUGAAUAUGGGGGGACCAUCCUCCAAGGCUAAAUACUCCUGACUGACCGAUAGUGAACCAGUACCGUGAGGGAAAGGCGAAAAGAACCCCGGCGAGGGGAGUGAAAAAGAACCUGAAACCGUGUACGUACAAGCAGUGGGAGCACCCUUCGGGGUGUGACUGCGUACCUUUUGUAUAAUGGGUCAGCGACUUAUAUUCUGUAGCAAGGUUAACCGUAUAGGGGAGCCGGAGGGAAACCGAGUCUUAAUUGGGCGUUAAGUUGCAGGGUAUAGACCCGAAACCCGGUGAUCUAGCCAUGGGCAGGUUGAAGGUUGGGUAACACUAACUGGAGGACCGAACCGACUAAUGUUGAAAAAUUAGCGGAUGACCUGUGGCUGGGGGUGAAAGGCCAAUCAAACCGGGAGAUAGCUGGUUCUCCCCGAAAGCUAUUUAGGUAGCGCCUCGUGAAUUCAUCUCCGGGGGUAGAGCACUGUUUCGGCUAGGGGGCCAUCCCGGCUUACCAACCCGAUGCAAACUGCGAAUACCGGAGAAUGUUAUCACGGGAGACACACGGCGGGUGCUAACGUCCGUCGUGAAGAGGGAAACAACCCAGACCGCCAGCUAAGGUCCCAAAGUCAUGGUUAAGUGGGAAACGAUGUGGGAAGGCCCAGACAGCCAGGAUGUUGGCUUAGAAGCAGCCAUCAUUUAAAGAAAGCGUAAUAGCUCACUGGUCGAGUCGGCCUGCGCGGAAGAUGUAACGGGGCUAAACCAUGCACCGAAGCUGCGGCAGCGAACGUAUCACCCAAGACAACUUUACGGAGUUGACGAUUGACGGAGCGAAGCGACGUCAAAGCGUUCAUUAAAGUCGAGUUGGCUUAGGGAUACGUUCGUUGGGUAGGGGAGCGUUCUGUAAGCCUGUGAAGGUGUGUCGUGAGGCAUGCUGGAGGUAUCAGAAGUGCGAAUGCUGACAUAAGUAACGAUAAAGCGGGUGAAAAGCCCGCUCGCCGGAAGACCAAGGGUUCCUGUCCAACGUUAAUCGGGGCAGGGUGAGUCGACCCCUAAGGCGAGGCCGAAAGGCGUAGUCGAUGGGAAACGGGUUAAUAUUCCCGUACUUGGUGUUACUGCGAAGGGGGGACGGAGAAGGCUAUGUUGGCCGGGCGACGGUUGUCCCGGUUUAAGCGUGUAGGUGUGUGUUCCAGGUAAAUCCGGUUCACUUUAACACUGAGGCGUGACGACGAGGCACUACGGUGCUGAAGCAACAAAUGCCCUGCUUCCAGGAAAAGCCUCUAAGCAUCAGGUAACACGAAAUCGUACCCCAAACCGACACAGGUGGUCAGGUAGAGAAUACCAAGGCGCUUGAGAGAACUCGGGUGAAGGAACUAGGCAAAAUGGUGCCGUAACUUCGGGAGAAGGCACGCUGACACGUAGGUGAAGUGAUUUACUCAUGGAGCUGAAGUCAGUCGAAGAUACCAGCUGGCUGCAACUGUUUAUUAAAAACACAGCACUGUGCAAACACGAAAGUGGACGUAUACGGUGUGACGCCUGCCCGGUGCCGGAAGGUUAAUUGAUGGGGUCAGCGUAAGCGAAGCUCCUGAUCGAAGCCCCGGUAAACGGCGGCCGUAACUAUAACGGUCCUAAGGUAGCGAAAUUCCUUGUCGGGUAAGUUCCGACCUGCACGAAUGGCGUAAUGAUGGCCAGGCUGUCUCCACCCGAGACUCAGUGAAAUUGAACUCGCUGUGAAGAUGCAGUGUACCCGCGGCAAGACGGAAAGACCCCGUGAACCUUUACUAUAGCUUGACACUGAACAUUGAGCCUUGAUGUGUAGGAUAGGUGGGAGGCUUUGAAGUGUGGACGCCAGUCUGCAUGGAGCCGACCUUGAAAUACCACCCUUUAAUGUUUGAUGUUCUAACGUGGACCCGUUACCCGGGUUGCGGACAGUGUCUGGUGGGUAGUUUGACUGGGGCGGUCUCCUCCUAAAGAGUAACGGAGGAGCACGAAGGUUGGCUAAUCCUGGUCGGACAUCAGGAGGUUAGUGCAAUGGCAUAAGCCAGCUUGACUGCGAGCGUGACGGCGCGAGCAGGUGCGAAAGCAGGUCAUAGUGAUCCGGUGGUUCUGAAUGGAAGGGCCAUCGCUCAACGGAUAAAAGGUACUCCGGGGAUAACAGGCUGAUACCGCCCAAGAGUUCAUAUCGACGGCGGUGUUUGGCACCUCGAUGUCGGCUCAUCACAUCCUGGGGCUGAAGUAGGUCCCAAGGGUAUGGCUGUUCGCCAUUUAAAGUGGUACGCGAGCUGGGUUUAGAACGUCGUGAGACAGUUCGGUCCCUAUCUGCCGUGGGCGCUGGAGAACUGAGGGGGGCUGCUCCUAGUACGAGAGGACCGGAGUGGACGCAUCACUGGUGUUCGGGUUGUCAUGCCAAUGGCACUGCCCGGUAGCUAAAUGCGGAAGAGAUAAGUGCUGAAAGCAUCUAAGCACGAAACUUGCCCCGAGAUGAGUUCUCCCUGAGACUUAGAGUCUCCUGAAGGAACGUUGAAGACGACGACGUUGAUAGGCCGGGUGUGUAAGCGCAGCGAUGCGUUGAGCUAACCGGUACUAAUGAACCGUGAGGCUUAACCUUACAACGCCGAAG